AACAGUUUUGAAUGUGUGUCCCACCCCUCUGAUUAAAGCACAAUAUCAGACUGUCUGUUUAGUCAGGACUGUCAAACCAACAUCACUGUUCCUUCAGUUCUCACUCAUUCACAGUAAAGAUGACAGCACACGCUCUCAUUAUCUGCUCUCUACUGCUUUUCAUUGCUGAGUGUAAUGGACAGAUCACAGUCACUCAGAAUCCCUCAACAACAGCAGCUCAACCAGGACAACAAGUUAAAAUAAACUGUAAAACCAGCAGUGGAGUGCAUAAUGGUAACAACUUGCACUGGUACUUACAGAAACCUGGAGAAGCUCCUAAACUCCUCAUAUAUGCUGCAACAAGCCGCUACACUGGAACUCCAUCUAGAUUCAGUGGCAGUGGAUCUAAUAGUGAUUUCACUCUGACCAUCAGUGGAGUCCAGACUGAAGAUGCAGGACAUUAUUACUGUCAGAGUGUUCACAGUGGUCCAGUGUUCACACAGUGAUAAAGAGUCGUACAAAAA